AGUGCAUGUGGUGGAUGCCUUGGCAGUCAGAGGCGAUGAAAGACGUAAUAGCCUGCGAUAAGCUUCGGGGAGGCGGCAAAUAUCCUGUGAUCCGGAGAUUUCUGAAUGGGGAAACCCACUUACCAUAAGGUAGGUAUCGCAUGAUGAAUACAUAGUCAUGCGAGGCGAACGAGGGGAAGUGAAACAUCUCAGUACCCUUAGGAAAAGAAAUCAAUUGAGAUUCCCUCAGUAGCGGCGAGCGAACGGGGAUCAGCCCAUUAAGUUAUAUGUGUUUUAGCGGAAAGCUCUGGGAAGUGCUACCGUAGAGGGUGAUAGUCCCGUACACGAAAGGGCACAUAUAAUGAUGACGAGUAGGGCGAGGCACGUGAAACCUUGUCUGAAUAUGGGGGGACCAUCCUCCAAGGCUAAAUACUCCUGACUGACCGAUAGUGAACCAGUACCGUGAGGGAAAGGCGAAAAGAACCCCUGUGAGGGGAGUGAAAUAGAUCCUGAAACCGCAUGCAUACAAGCAGUGGGAGCCAACUUGUUUGGUGACUGCGUACCUUUUGUAUAAUGGGUCAGCGACUUAUAUUCAGUAGCAAGGUUAACCGCAUAGGGGAGCCGUAGAGAAAUCGAGUCUUAAUAGGGCGUUUAGUUGCUGGGUAUAGACCCGAAACCGGGUGAUCUAUCCAUGAGCAGGUUGAAGGUUGGGUAACACUAACUGGAGGACCGAACCCACUGUCGUUGAAAAGCCAGGGGAUGACUUGUGGAUAGGGGUGAAAGGCUAAUCAAACUCGGUGAUAGCUGGUUCUCCCCGAAAGCUAUUUAGGUAGCGCCUCGGACGAAUACCAUAGGGGGUAGAGCACUGUUUCGGCUAGGGGGUCAUCCCGACUUACCAAACCGAUGCAAACUCCGAAUACCUAUGAGUACUAUCCGGGAGACAGACUGCGGGUGCUAACGUCCGUAGUCAAGAGGAAAACAAUCCAGACCGCCAGCUAAGGCCCCCAAAUUAUAGUUAAGUGGGAAACGAUGUGGGAAGGCAUAGACAGCUAGGAGGUUGGCUUAGAAGCAGCCACCCUUUAAAGAAAGCGUAAUAGCUCACUAGUCGAGUCGGCCUGCGCGGAAGAUGUAACGGGGCUAAAACUAUAUGCCGAAGCUGCGGAUGUAUACUAUGUAUACGUGGUAGGGGAGCGUUCUGUAAGCCGAUGAAGGUGUAUUGAGAAGUAUGCUGGAGGUAUCAGAAGUGCGAAUGCUGACGUGAGUAACGACAAAACGGGUGAAAAACCCGUUCGCUGAAAGACCAAGGGUUCCAGUCCAACGUUAAUCGGGGCUGGGUGAGUCGACCCCUAAGGCGAGGCCGAGAGGCGUAGUCGAUGGGAAAUUGGUUAAUAUUCCAAUACUUCUGUGUAAUGCGAUGAGAGGACGGAGAAAGUUAAGUCAGCCUGGCGUUGGUUGUCCAGGUGAAAGGCAGUAGGCAUGCAUCUUAGGCAAAUCCGGGGUGCUCUAUGCUGAGAGCUGAUAGCAAGCUAGUUUACUAGCGAAGUGGCUGAUACUAUGCUUCCAGGAAAAGUCUCUAAGCUUCAGUUACACAGGAAUCGUACCCUAAACCGACACAGGUGGUCAGGUCGAGUAGACCAAAGCGCUUGAGAGAACUCUGCUGAAGGAACUAGGCAAAAUGGUACCGUAACUUCGGGAGAAGGUACGCUGCUGACGGUGAUAGGACUUGCUCCUUGAGCUAUUGGCAGCCACAGAAACCAGGCCCCUGCAACUGUUUAUUAAAAACAUAGCACUCUGCAAACACGAAAGUGGACGUAUAGGGUGUGAUGCCUGCCCGGUGCUGGAAGGUUAAUUGAUGGGGUUAGCGUAAGCGAAGCUCUUGAUCGAAGCCCCAGUAAACGGCGGCCGUAACUAUAACGGUCCUAAGGUAGCGAAAUUCCUUGUCGGGUAAGUUCCGACCUGCACGAAUGGCAUAAUGAUGGGGGCGCUGUCUCCAGCAGAGGCUCAGUGAAAUCGAAAUCGCCGUGAAGAUGCGGUGUACCCGCGGCUAGACGGAAAGACCCCGUGAACCUUUACUGCAGCUUGACAUUGAACUUUGAUCUUACUUGUGUAGGAUAGGUGGGAGGCUUUGAAGUAGUGACGCCAGUUGCUAUGGAGCCAUCCUUGAAAUACCACCCUGGUAAUAUUGAGGUUCUAACUCUGUCCCGUUAUCCGGGACGAGGACCAUGUCUGGUGGGUAGUUUGACUGGGGCGGUCUCCUCCUAAAGAGUAACGGAGGAGUACGAAGGUGCGCUCAGCGUGGUCGGAAAUCACGCGUAGAGUAUAAAGGCAAAAGCGCGCUUAACUGCGAGACCCACAAGUCGAGCAGGUACGAAAGUAGGUCUUAGUGAUCCGGUGGUUCUGUAUGGAAGGGCCAUCGCUCAACGGAUAAAAGGUACUCUGGGGAUAACAGGCUGAUACCGCCCAAGAGUUCAUAUCGACGGCGGUGUUU
rnacentral:rRNA from 1 species